GAGCACUCACUUGUGCUGCACAUAUACUAAAAUUGGAAAAACACAGAGAAUAUUAGCAUAUUCUGGGCAAAGGGUGACACACAAAUCUGUG
rnacentral:snRNA from 1 species